rnacentral:rRNA from 1 species
CUACGGGUUGCUGCAGUGGGGAAUAUUGGACAAUGGGGGAAACCCUGAUCCAGCAAUGCCGCGUGUGUGAAGAAGGCCUGCGGGUUGUAAAGCACUUUCGGUUGGGAGGACUGCUUCUAGCACUAAUAUUGUUGGAAGUUGACGUUACCUUCAGAAGAAGCACCGGCUAACUCCGUGCCAGCAGCCGCGGUAAUACCGAGGGUGGCAAGCGUUAAUCGGAAUUACUGGGCGUAAAGCGCGCGUAGGCGGCUAGAUCAGUCGGGUGUGAAAGCCCCGGGCUUAACCUGGGAACUGCAUCCGAUACUGUCUAGCUAGAGUACAGGAGAGGAGAGUGGAAUUCCACAUGUAGCGGUGAAAUGCGUAGAUAUGUGGAGGAACACCAAUGGCGAAGGCAGCUCUCUGGCCUGAUACUGACGCUGAGGUGCGAAAGCGUGGGGAGCAAACAGGAUUAGAUACCCUAGUAGUC